UAUAUCUUUGCAACGUUUUGUUCCGUCAAUCUUCCUUAGCGAGGGUUCGGAUGAAAAGGGAAUCGGGUGAAAGUCCCGAACAGUCCCGCUGCUGUGAGCUCCGUUUUUUAGGUUUGCUUAUCGAAACCCCACAAAGCCACUGUCCUAUGUUUUUACGGAUGGGAAGGCAAGGCAAGCCGGAGUAAGUCAGAAGACCUGCAAAACGUAUAUAAUUUUG
rnacentral:ncRNA from 2 species